rnacentral:rRNA from 1 species
AAAGUUGAAAAGCACUUUGAAGAGAGAGUUAAAGAGGACGUGAAACCGAUGAGGCGGAAACGGACAGAGCCAGCGUAUCUGGCCUGCAUUCAGCUUGCGCGCUCGUCGCCGAUGAAUCGCCGCUCUCCAGAUUGGGACUGUUGACUAGUCGGUCGGCGAUUGUGUGCAAGUGCAUUUGCAGGUGGAGUGCGUCGAGCCGUCUGGGGCGGCGGCAUGAACCGGGCUUUGAGGCCAGCUUGCUGGUACCCGKRCCCAGGGGAUUGCUGUUCGUUCUGGAUGUUUUGUUGGGGGCAAGGCUGUGUGCGGACCCGGUUGGGUGCCGAGCUGGAUGUCGGUGGCGGUCGCUUGCGACACGUGCUGCGCAGCCAGUUCGGUCCUGRCCGCGAGUCCACUCAUGUGUGUCCCAGUCUCGGCGUAAAAGCUGGUCAUCUUUCCGACCCGUCUUGAAACACGGACCAAGGAGUUUAUCGUGUGCGCGAGUCAUUGGGCGUUGAAAACCCAAAGGCGCAAUGAAGGUGAACGUGUCCGCUAGGAGCCGACGUGCGAUCCCGGUUGCUUCGGUUGCCGGGCGCAGCAUGGCCCCAUCCCGACUGCUCGCAGUGGGGUGGAGGAAGAGCGCAGGCGAUGAGACCCGAAAGAUGGUGAACUAUUCCUGAGCAGGACGAAGCCAGAGGAAACUCUGGUGGAAGUC